AUUGAACGCUGGCGGCCGGCCUAACACAUGCAAGUCGAACGAGUGGCGGACGGGUGAGUAAUGUCUGGGAAACUGCCUGAUGGAGGGGGAUAACUACUGGAAACGGUAGCUAAUACCGCAUACCAUCGGAUGUGCCCAGAGGGGAUUAGCUAGUAGGUGGGGUAAAGGCUCACCUAGGCGACUAUCCCUAGCUGGUCUGAGAGGAUGACCAGCCACACUGGAACGGAGAAACGGUCCAGACUCCUACGGGAGGCAGCAGUGGGGAAUAGUGCACAAUGGGAGCAAGCCGGAUGCAGCCAUGCCGAGUGUAUGAAGAAGGCCUUCGGGUUGUAAAGUACUUUCAGCGGGGAGGCGUUACCCGCAGAAGAAGCACAGGCUAACUCCGUGCCAGCAGCCGCGGUAAUUC
rnacentral:rRNA from 1 species